CCGGCACGGGUGAGUAACACGUAUCCAACCUGCCGUCUACUCUUGGACAGCCUUCAGAAAGGAAGAUUAAUACAAGAUGGCAUCAUGAGUCCGCAUGUUCACAUGAUUAAAGGUAUUCCGGUAGACGAUGGGGAUGCGUUCCAUUAGAUAGUAGGCGGGGUAACGGCCCACCUAGUCUUCGAUGGAUAGGGGUUCUGAGAGGAAGGUCCCCCACAUUGGAACUGAGACACGGUCCAA
rnacentral:rRNA from 1 species